rnacentral:rRNA from 1 species
UGCUGAAGGCAAUGGUUAACGGAGCGAAAGCGACGUUCAACCGCAAAACAAGCAGAGGGGGCUUAGUGGUGGGGUGACUGCGUACCUUUUGUAUAAUGGGUCAGCGACUUAUAUUCUGUAGCAAGGUUAACCGUAUAGGGGAGCCGGAGGGAAACCGAGUCUUAAUUGGGCGUUAAGUUGCAGGGUAUAGACCCGAAACCCGGUGAUCUAGCCAUGGGCAGGUUGAAGGUUGGGUAACACUAACUGGAGGACCGAACCGACUAAUGUUGAAAAAUUAGCGGAUGACCUGUGGCUGGGGGUGAAAGGCCAAUCAAACCGGGAGAUAGCUGGUUCUCCCCGAAAGCUAUUUAGGUAGCGCCUCGUGAAUUCAUCUCCGGGGGUAGAGCACUGUUUCGGCUAGGGGGCCAUCCCGGCUUACCAACCCGAUGCAAACUGCGAAUACCGGAGAAUGUUAUCACGGGAGACACACGGCGGGUGCUAACGUCCGUCGUGAAGAGGGAAACAACCCAGACCGCCAGCUAAGGUCCCAAAGUCAUGGUUAAGUGGGAAACGAUGUGGGAAGGCCCAGACAGCCAGGAUGUUGGCUUAGAAGCAGCCAUCAUUUAAAGAAAGCGUAAUAGCUCACUGGUCGAGUCGGCCUGCGCGGAAGAUGUAACGGGGCUAAACCAU